AAAGCUUUAAGUUAAAUAAACUAUUAACCUUCAAAGUUAAAUAUAUAUAUUAUUUAUAUAAGCUUUA
rnacentral:tRNA from 1 species